UAAGCAAGGCUGUUACCACCCCACGCCGGAAGGGUGGGAAGGAAACAAGGGCUGGCGCUGUUAUCAUAGUCCCUUUUCCGGAACACUGACUUAAUAAAGGGUAUCGACUUAAAAAUAGAAUCCUAGCGCCCAGGCAGCGUGUCACCAUGAGGCAGUCACCCCUCAGGACUCCACUUUGGUCCUGGAGCGCUCCAGCCUGUCCGCACACCUGGGCCCUUGCUCAGUGUUUGGCAUUAAGUCAGGCGUAAUUCGGGACAAUAGUUGAGAUUUCCGUGGUGAGCGGCUGCUCCUGAAGCCUCUCAUGGCCUGACGGAUUUCAGAAUCACGAGUGUUUUGGCCGUUGCUCUCCCAGCUGCUAAUGUCAACUAGUCACCCCUGUACUCCCAGGAGAGCACCCCUGGGAAGGUGAACUAUUAAACAACGCUUGGCCAUUGGUAUAUUGGGUCCCAGCUCUAUGGCCUUGUCUUGAAACAACUAAAUGCUUUAUUGAAGAAGAAAUGUACAUGCAUGAAAAAGUUUUCUGUUCUGAUCCUUUGCUACCUUUGGAAUCAGAAAGGAAGCUGCUGUGGGUUCCAAAGAAAGACAUCACUUUGGACUGAAGCUUCUUGGUACAAAAUGAACUCCAUGAGAGCAGAGACAAGACUUCUCUAUUGAGCCCUCUCCCUACGUGGAACGUCCUGGCACAUGGGAAACCUUCCUCAGUAAAUACUAUGGAGUAAAUAACAUGCUGAAUAAAUGUGAGAAUAAAACUUUAAGAGAGAUUACUCCUAAAUGGUGAAAUAAAAAAGUAAAUAAAUAAAUACAUUUUGGUGUAACUGUAUGUCAUCUACUUUCGCCCCACAUCUUCCCCACAAAAUUCAACACCACCAUUAAACUAAUUACUUAUAGAUUAAGUAACGUGAAUACAUGAUGUAUAAGACCUGCUAGACCUUUAAAAAAUUCUUCCAACAAAGGACCAUUUACCAAUAAUUCAGUUAAAUGACAUGUGAAACACACUAGGAAAAAAAAUAAGGGAAGACAUCCAGACUGCAGAGUUACUCUUUCUACUCACCUUCACACACAGACACAUUGCUUUUCCAAAGGCUUUUCACUCCAGCCAAGACA